AAGUCGUAACAAGGUAUCCGUAGGUGAACCUGCGGAUGGAUCAUUACCAAAGACCCAUUUCGAGUCUUGUGAACUGUUUUCCGUUGUGGUCAGUGUGUUUUUAUUCCGCGUUUUCGCGCGUUUAACUUGCACACUGGCUUCACCAACCAAACCAAACGUCUAAACCCUUUAACCAGAGUCACUUUAGCUUAAAACUAAAGACAACUUUUAGCAACGGAUCUCUUGGCUCUC
rnacentral:misc_RNA from 1 species